rnacentral:rRNA from 1 species
GACAGAGGGUGCAAACGUUGUUCGGAAUUACUGGGCGUAAAGCGCGUGUAGGCGGCUCGGAAAGUCGGAUGUGAAAGCCCUGGGCUUAACCUAGGAAGUGCAUUCGAAACUCCCGAGCUUGAGUUCUGGAGAGGAAGGCGGAAUUCUCGGUGUAGAGGUGAAAUUCGUAGAUAUCGAGAGGAACACCGGUGGCGAAGGCGGCCUUCUGGACAGUGACUGACGCUGAGACGCGAAAGCGUGGGAAGCAAACAGG